ACUGCUUCGGCAGUACAUAUACUAAUUGGAACGAUACAGAGAGAUUAGCAUGGCACUGCGCACAAGGAUGGAACACGAAAAAUCGUGAAGCGCUUCCACAUUUUU